AGAGCUAGAUUCAGGGAGCUAUAAAAGCUCCCCAGCAGAUUCUAAUGAACAGCCAGCAUUGAACACCACCGCUCUGGAGGCUUAAGCAGCAGCAGGAGUUGGGUGGCCAGUUCGCUGAAUCUUGGGCUAGAUGGAAGAAGUGGGGUGACCCCAGGAAGGUCCCUCGAAGAAUGGAGGUCCCAAGGCAGCCAUCACCCUGAAAACUGGAGAGACAAGAAAAUACAAAGAAUCACAACUUACAAAGGAAGACACGUCCCUGGCUGGAGCCACUACCCGUGGAACCACUUGAAUUGACGCUGGCGAGCCAUUUGCAAGAUAGUUACACCAUUUUACCUUCCCACCAGCAGAGUUUGAGCAUUCCAGUUCUUCAUCCA